CCCCCCCCCCCCCCCCGCCUUAUCUUUACUUUUUGUUACAGCUAAAGAGCAAAUGCAAGAAAGACCUGCUUUGGCCAGAAUAUUUUCUCUAUAAUGACUAUUUUACAUUGACCAAAAUUAAGAGUCAAAAUAACUUCUUUUUUAUAGGUACACUUAGAUUAUACUAGGUAAUCUACUAGUAUAAUGUCAUUUUCCUGUUUGUAUUCUUGGACUUGUGUCAAAAAAUGUGUGAAUAAAUUCUUGCAUGCUAAAAAUGGAAAGCAAAUUAGAAGGCCAAAACAGAUUUUAGCUUUGUAUUUGAAAUCACUUGAAGUACCUAGUGAAAAGCUUCAGCACAGAUUGCCGCCCCCGCCCUGUGGAAGACGCUGCUUACAUGAAAAUAGCUAGUUAAAGGAAAUUAUCCUCUAGAAAGUAUUUUCUUGUAUUUGUGUGAAGAAAUGUUGUUCUUCUCUUAACUAGCUGUCAGUUAAAAUCUGUCUCUGGAGUGGUUUCCAGGCUUUGAUAAUGUGUAUCUUUCUAGUAGUCUGCAUAAACCUGAUGUUUUCUAGCAUUCUAGCAGGACUUUGCACUGUAUGCAGUUCUUCAAUAUUUUGGAAUGCACAUAUACAUUUUUUACAUGCAGUACUUUGGAAUGUAUUUUUUAUUUUGGGCAAGUUUGUGAUUAAGGAGUUCAGUAUUAGUUUUUCAUGGGGUUCAUGCUUUCAGCUAUAAAAAUAUCUAUGCAGCUGUAUGAAGUUAUAAGAAUGCUUUGGCAUAUUAAUAAUUUUUUUUGGCGAUCCCCACAUAAAAGCUGUGCUUCAGCUAGUCUGGUGAGACACACUAGAAUACAUAGUCUGAAGCAAGAAAACUGUUAGUGAUUCUUUCUCUGCUGUGUUAAGCUAUUGGAUUGCAAGUAGCAUUUCUCCCUCCCCUCACCAAAAAAUAAACCAACCUAAAGGCAGACCGUGAAAAAGGAAGAGGUAGGUGGAUGAGGUAAAAUCUGCAUGUCAUUAUGUUAACACAAACAUUCAGUGUUUAAAUUCGGGGGGAGGGAGAUCCCAUUUUUUUGUUCCCAGGCUUUUUACUGUCAAACAGACAAGAAGAUAAGGAUGACUUUUCCAAAUUGAGUAUAAAUAUCAACCUGGACCUGAAAUACAUGCAUGGGGCUAGGAAUGAGGAAGAAUCAAAGAUGAUUCCCAAAGGAUGAUCCUGAGUAGUAAAGGGGAUCUUGGUGAUAGUGCCAAGGAAGAGAAUAAUAGAAUGGAUAUGAGAGAGAAAGUAAGGAGUGUAGUUUUGGCCACACUAGAUUUAAUGUUAUAGUAAGACUACCAAGAGGAGAUGUCCAAAAGAUAGACCAAAAUCCAGAAUUAGAUAGGCAUGAAUCAGAAGCAGAUGGGUAGAUUUUGAGGAGAAUCAUAAGUAAAAUUUAGGAUGGAGAUGAUGUCCAGGAGAAAGUUAUAGUAAUCAAGCAUGAAAAAAAUAGAAUAAGAAGGAUGAGGAUGAAACAGAUCAUGAAAUUUAUCUAGAAGAGGUGUGUCUUCUAACUUCAAGGAAACACAAUUUGAAAGCUUCAGGAAGCAUCAGAUAAUUUUAAAGUAGGUAUGUCAUCUUAUUUUUCCAGAAAGGCCUCUCAUUGCCUACAUAUUUAUUAUGCUGUGACAGAAAAUGAGGCAUACCUACUGGGCCCUCACUUGCUCAACAGACUUAAAACAUAUUACUGUGGGUCACUAGGGAAAGUUUGGUGUGUUGGUGGUAGCUGGAUUGAAAGACCCCUCCAAUUUCCCAAAGGUUUCUAAACUUAUAUUGCUUCUCUUCAAGUAACAAGUAGACUGUCAUGGUCCAGGAAAAAAAUGGUGGAUCAUUGUAGAGGGGAUAAUUUAGAUAAGUAGAUGUUGCACUAUGUUAAUUCUUUGCAGUUGCUGAAGGAUGUAUUCUGUUAAUACCCUCCAGUAUACUGUAUCUUAAAGUUGUAUCAUAGUGUGUUGGAUGCAACUACAUGAAUGCCCCAAGCCUUUAAGAGAAUACAUAAAAUAGUAAAAUGGCUUAAGAAGCUUAUUAUUAUUUCCUUGAAAUCUUUUCUACCAUUAAUUUACAUUAUGGUAGCUGGAGGAGCAGCGGAGGAGGUUUUAUGUUUGUGCUUUUGGAGAAGUGUGUCUGUCAUCCAUAUUAACCACAAAGGGGAGAUACUCUUGCAAGAGUUCAGAAAAUGUGAGAUACCUAUUUACCUGUUUUACAAGUCAAGGUCACGAGACGUUAACAUUUCAUUAAAUCAUCAGCCCCCACAUUUUGCCAUGAAAGUUCUGCAAGGGAAGAAAGAUGGAUCUAGGCUGAGGAAAAGUAUCUAUUAGUCUUCUAAAUACUCCAUUCUCUUUUUAUGAGGCAAGAGGAAAUGGGACAUGGUCCUUCAGCUCACUCUACACCCACAAUGCAACAGCAGUCCCUGAAAGCAGAACUCUGGUUUACCUGGGAGUGGCUUCAAGCAGUUGAAGAGCCAUUUUGGAAAACUCUUGGGAAGAGCAAGCCAUUUUUUGAAGAAGGGGGGUAUUGAGUCCAAGGUAAGCACUUACCAGUUGCCAAGAAUCUCUAGACUCAUUUAGUGUCUCAUUUAUUAGGUGAAUAAACCAUCUGACAUUGCUUAGAAAAACAGCUGUAUAAUUCCUUUCCAAGAUGGACCUAACUGUAUACCAGCAUCGGGCCAUUAUUUCUUUCUAUUCUCUUUUAGUUUUAGAAAUGCUGUCUUUUAAGGGAAUAAUCGUGGAGAAAAUGGUAUUAUCUACUAACUCUCUGUUAAUCCUAUCUGUAUUACUUGGUGGGCACAUUUACAUGAGACGCUACAUUGCCAGUGAUGUGCUAUGGUGUUGUAGCAUCGGUGGGCACUAACCAUGAUGCUGCCGGUACGUCACCAUAGCAACAAGCUCCCUCACUAUAGUAUGUCGCUAUGGUGACGUAGCAGCUAAAAACCAUGUGCCAUCGUUUAGUACUUCUUAAAAUACUAAACGAUCACUUGAAGUACUAAAUGAUGGCGCAGUAACAACCGCGCCUUGGGGGCAUGUGUAGAUGUGCCCAGUAUGGAGUUGUAUACCCUGCCAUCUAAGCAUGUUAUAUUAUCUUUUAGAUUUGUAUAAUGUUAAAAUGCAUUUGCCCUAGCUCAGAUAGAAUCGUUGUCUUCAAUAAUUAUGGGUAUAAUAGGGAAAAUAUUUUAUAUGGUUGAGUCUAGCGUUUUAUUCUGAGUGUGAACAGUGCAGGGACCAUCCUUAAAGCUUAGAGGUGAGAGUUCCACAAACUAGCCAGCAAGAAACCUCCCCUCUCCUUUGUCUUGUCCUAUUAUUGCCAAUAAUUUCAUUGGCAAGGAAUACGACAGGUCAUAGAAAAGUGAAGGAAGAAUUAAUUCUCUGUGUAAGGUAGUGCUUGCCAAUAGAAGAGGACUUGGAAACCUGGAUCAAAACCUUCAAUUUAACCUGUCGUUCAAUGGGAGCAAAUGCAAUCUAAUUCUUAUUGUGGUAAUAUAAGUGCAGCCUUGGUAGUGUUUAGCAAGUGGGAUGCUGCAUCUUGUACCAGGUGAAGCUUUUUAAAUGUCAGUGCUUUCAUUUUAACUAUCAAGUACAGUGCAAUUAUGAAGCCUUACGGUUGCAAAAACAUCACAUUGACCAAGCCAUUUCUGUCAGGAAACAACAGAUUCUUGGUCAGUUAUGGGUACUGGCAAACGGUAUUGCAUCUGUUGCUAUUAAUUUAGCCAUUACAGUAGGACUCCAUGUUCAUUUCCUGAUUUUUUGCAAUUAUUCUCCAUUAGUGUGAUGUUAUGAGGCAGGGUUAUUUUUCUGUUUUUUUUUUAUAUCCAACCAAUAUUAUGUCUGUCUUUUCUGGGCUUAACUUCAAGCACUUGCUUUUCAGCAAGUUUCUGAUUUUCAUACAGGCCCUGGAAUAGGUGGCGUAUAGUAGCUUAUGAUGUAGAGACGGGUAUCAUGAGCAUCAUGCUAGCUUCUCAGUAUGUGAUAGCUUACUGCGCUUUCCUCACUGACACAAACGUGGAAAAGUGGGGAGAGAGUAUGCAACUCUCAGUGACUUUACAGGCGAGUGAGCCAGAGACGGAGGGCACCUAUACAUAUGCAGUGAGGCUGCUCUGACACGCUGUAAUUACAGUGCAUUGGAGCAGACUCAAUUAAUUGAGUCUGCUGGAGCUUGGUAAUUACCAUGCCAUGAGCUUUAGUUAAAUUACCCCCACCACCAUUCUUUGCACAGGGACAUUAAUACACGAGAUGCUCCAGGCACUUUAAUAAGAGUGGAUCUUGGAGCAGCUCUAAUUAAAGUGCCCCCUCCCCCCACUCCCAGAGCACACGUAUAAACACCCAGAGGUGCUAAUGCCAUCUAUCGGCUUCUAGUAUUUCAUCCCUACUAUAGAAGGUAGUCCAUUCAUAGCAUCUGACAAAGCGGUCUGUUGCCUACAAAAGCUCUUGCCUCUCUGAACCAUGUAGUACGGGGUGACACUGGAGAUUAUCUUUUGCCUGAUUUCAGACAAACAUGGCUAACCUCCUCUGUGCCUGUGUCUAGGACAGAACAAAUACUGUCAUUAUUUUAAGGCGGCACUUCAAUUAUCAUCAUUUUGGGAUAAAUAAAUCAUAAUUCACUAGAGGUAACAGUCCAUAAGAACUUCAAGUAGCUGAAAAAGUUAGAGCAGUCUGAAGAUGAAGGCACCUUACAGAAGAAAAGGAGUGGCUUAAGGCCUAUGCAAGUCAAGGAAAAAGCUGCCCUCUCUUCCGCUCCCUCCCCCACCAUGAGAGCAGGAGUGUAGCCUUGUUCUGUGUUUCUGGUGCUUAUUGCCUUUUCCACAACCAUAUUUUUAAAUUUUGCUUUCAGAAGACAUGGGGGCAGUAUGAACUCCCUUUUCCCUCAUCACAGUGAUUAUCUGGUAGAAAUCUCCCUUAUAAUCUUUUCACUGAGCAAAUCAGUUGCUUUAAAUGUGGGCCUUCUUGCCCACUAAUCAGUUGAUCUCCAGCUAAAAAAAAGUGAUUCCAUAAGUCUGUACAUUCCAAUUGCUUGUGAAUGUCCAGCCUCGUUCAGGCUUCACUUAUCCCUUUUUCUUCCCUUUUAGACAAGGCAGGUGCUUUCUCUCUCAUAGUCUUUGCAUUCCUUCCAAGUUGAUGCACAUAGUCAUUUGUAAUCAAGGCUGUAAAUUGUAUUUAAAGCUGUGCUGCGCUAUCCCUGGAUAUUUGAAUCAUAAAUGAGAGUAUUGUCCUGCCUGUACUCUUACUUAUCCUUCCAGCCGUAAUGGAUCCUUUCAUUUGUGCUCAAUUAGCUUUUCCACUCUUGCAUUCAGACCCUGAAAGUUUCCACUCUUGUCUUCAGGUCUUGAAUGCUGAUGGUGCAGUAGACAUUUGCUUCUACCCCAUAAUUUGUUUAGCUCUUUUGUGCAAUAGAUUUCAUUUAAAAAAAAAAAAAAGUUUAUUUGUUUUGACAAGCCUAAGCACUAUGACUGUGUUGUGCUACUAACAUGUCAUAACAUUAAAUAGUCCCUGCAAUUAGUUUUAUGGUAUGAUGGCUCUAGAAGAGGCUGCUUAGUGUUGGGCUUUUUUGGUUUGUUUUUUUAUUUUUUGCAGGGGGGAGGGGGGAUGACCAUUUGAAUUUCAGCUGAAAUGCUCCUUUAAAACUAUCCAUCUUUUUGAUGGAUAUUCCUUUGGUUUUGAGAGAGAAAGGAGCCAAGGUACACCACUCAUAUAUCCAAAGCUAGACAUUUUUAGAACAGAACCUCACAGUCUUUAAGUACACAGAGUGCUCUUCCUUUCACUGAAAUGCCAUUACACUGAGUGAAUAGAAUGGAUUCAGAGAUAUACCAUUCUGUGCCAUUUCCAGCACUAGGAAAUUUCCCUACCAUUUCCCUGACUAUACUGCUGGUCCCGUUUCACAGGUCAGGAAAAUAACUUCACUAGGACUCUAUGACGUCAGUGCAGUAAACCUUCACAGUACUGUUAGCUGUUCCUUGUUAACUGUUAUAACUCCACUGGGACUUGAGCCUGAUGCAAAAUAUGUGGCUCCUAAUACUUGUAACAAUUUGUUCCAUUGAGUUGCAUCUUUUUACAUUUUGCUGACAUCUCUGAAGGCGAAAUUAAAAAAAAAACUUUCCAGCUUCCUUAAGUGUUUUCUUUUUUCUCCCUCUAGCUUUCUUCCCUUCUUUUCCUUUAUUUAAUGAGAAGGAAAAAGAGAAACUUAAAACAAAUUAACCAGUUCCAUUUCCUUGCUUUGGAUUACAAAAGUGUCAUUUCUUCUGCGUAUGAUCAGACAGAUUUAAUUUCUCCUGCUGUAAAUGUGGCAGGUCCUUUGGAAUCACUGUUCAUUUAAUUAUGAGCAUUUUUCUGAAAGAGGAUUCUCUUUUCCUAUAAAGGAACUAGUUUCCACAUGCAGUCCUUGGAUACUGUUCAUCCUAUAUGUUAUAUGAAGAACAAUCUGUCUUGGUCGAAGAACAAUCUCUCAGUAUUAUUUUGUGGAAGGAUUUUGGAAGAUUGACUGAAACCUUUCCAAUACAAGCUUUGGAUGGGAGGACUAGUUUUCUUUCUCAGUAAUUUUGACUGUAGUGGGCCCUUAAUGUUUGCUAUUGUUGCUAAGAGAUUUAAAUUGCAUGCAGAACAACCAAGUGCCAAACUCAUCUCUGGUUUAACUCUAUUGCCAUUGAUAGAAACAAACCAGGGAAGAAUCUAGCCCUGAGUGUCCAUUUUUGUAGCUCAACAUCUGUCUUGGAUUGGUGCUAUUUAUUAGAGACUACUGGAAACUGAGUCUGGAGCAGAUUGGGAAAACACAAUUCUACCCUGAGAUGUUUUUUUCUGAGAUUUCAAAACUUUUUCAGGAUGAAACUAAGACAUUUUAAAAAUUUUCUCUGAGGAAAUAAUAGAAAAGGGCAGAAUGGCCCAAGCUUAGGACAUUCACUUGGGAUGAGAAGCCAGUGACAAGAUAGAGAAAUUACAACUUGGCUUACUACUAGCAUUUUAACCGAACUGCAUUUGGUAGGGGGACUUUUCAUAGAACUCUGCCCAGAAAUCUCAUCAGCAGGACACCCCUGACUAUACAGUUCUCCAGUAAGAUAUUGUGUUAGGCAUUAUAUCACCAGAAUCAAAGUUUAUUGGAUGUGGCUGUCACACCAUUUUAAAUAGCUCUUUAAAGCUGCCUAUUUCAAAAUUAACUCUUUUAUGAAUGUCAAAUGUAAUGGUCCCCAGUACCAAAGCCCCACACUGGGGACUGUGAAUCUUAAUUUUUCCCUGCAAUUACUAUAUAUUUGAAAAACUCCAAGUCUCAUAUUCUUGCUAAUUUAGUAAUCUGAAAUGUUUGUGCAUCUACAAUUUUGAUGAUCACUUUCCUAAGGAGAGCUCUCUAAACAACAAACCUGUGGUGUGUGCCACUAUAAAGCAUUUACUGUGUAUAUACGCUGUAUAUAUAAUUAUAUUUAGUAUUUUGUGCUAUUCUCUUCUACAACUACCUUUCUUGUUUUGGGGCCCUAGUCAUCUAUACAGUAUAUCAUACUCCAAAUGCUAUCAUUUUGCCCUGAAAAGAGGGUCAACUUGUGCUUCUGCUGAUAUGGAUUUUUCCACAUAAACUGACCUUGUGCAGCAUUUCUACUUAGUGAAUUAUAAUCAGUAGAGAGAGCCAGACGUGUACAAAUCUCAGUGGCCUCAUUUUAUUAUGUGCACUUUAAGGAUAGACUAUUAAGGAGGAAUGUUGCUUGGAUAGUGGUUAAAAAUGACACUGGCAGACAAAGCACAAUGAAAUUGCACAGUUUGUAUCACAACGUGAAAAUGUCACUAGUUGCCAAAGGAUGUGGAGCUAGUGUUGUCCUUUCCAUUUACACAUUUACAUGUCACAGAUAUAACUAUAUAGGUAAUUGUGCCACCUCAUAUUGAGCUGUUCAGAGCAUUUAUAUGUAGCACAUGGUAGCAAUACCUUUGCUGUAGCGGAGUUUCAUCAAUGUUUAGACAUGUCAGGAAUCUGGACUUCACCCAUAAAAAUUAGUUCCAAGUUAGUCUUUGUUCAGAAGGGGGGAAAUCCUUUAUUUAAAUAAAAAUGCAUGUAUAAAUAUGUAUACCUAUAUUAACAUCAACAUGAUGGCUAAGUGCCCUCGGUCAAAUUUCCAUUACAUUUUUAAUAUUUUAUAGUAGCCCACUUUGCCUAGAACCUCAGGAUGGAAAAACAGACACAAGUAGAUAGAGGAUAGGGAAAAGGGACAAGAAAAGGAAAUGUUUAUACAAACCAAUCAGUAUCAUCAUAGAGAGCAAGUCAGAAGUGAGAUUAGAUUUUAAGAGUCUUGAAAGUGGGGAGGAGGAUAUGUGCCCAAUUGAUUAUUUCAAGGAAUUUGAAGAAGAAAGAGAAGGUCUUUAGUUAAAGAUGUCCACAGGCAGGAAAUGCAUGAGAAGCAUGAUCCAUACCAUGCUGCCUCUAUGCUAUUUUAUAGCAUGCUCUAGUGUGUCCCACUUUGAUAUACAUCCUUUGGACACCAUAUGGCAUAUAUUUAACUGGAGCUGCCUGGAAGCAAAGCAGAAGUCAUAGGGAUAUAAAAAUGUCUCCUAUUUUGUCAUUUUCAAAUUAAAACUGCCACCAUGUUGUAAACUCUCACUGUCCCUGAUCCCUGUGUGUUAGACAUUGCAUCAAGUAUUGUACAUUACAGCUUGCACUGGCCAGAGACCUCUGGGAUAUUUUAAAGCAAGGGUGAGAUUUAAGGAUGGAUAUCUUUCUUCUCUUAGUAGAAGUCAAGUUCUCACCAUUAUUUUAUUAUAGUUUUUUUGUAUUUAAUAUACAAGGAUUUGACAAAGUACUACAGUAUAAUCAUCUAAUAAUACCCAUUUUGUCCCAUAAAAUUAUUAUAUCCAGUCUUAAAAUGUUAAAUAUGUCACUGUUAGGGUAGAGGAACAUAAAAUUCAGUUUAUAAUAUUAAAACUAAAAAAUGACACAAUGUUAUCAAUCACAUUCCUUGGUAAUAUUAAACUUUCCUCAUUUUUCUUUAAUUUUGCAUUUUUAGUGUAACAAAUUUAGAUUAAAGCAGCAGCCUCAUGCUCAAGGUCUCAUGGCGGUGAGUGGCAGUAAAGUUACAAGUAAAGUGAUAAGAAAACAAAUCACACAAAAAUCUAAUAUUUAAUAACAUUUCAGACAGAUUAGAGAUUUAAGACUCUGAACUGUAAUCGGCAUUGGAUCAGUGCAGACAUUCCAGUAAUUACAGAGGGAAUGCUUUAGUCUCUUUGAAAUAAAUGCAGAUCAUCACCAAAAGGCUUGAAAUAUGCUUGAAUAGUUGUUAUAAAAUUGAGAUUUCUUUUCUGAAGGAUUUUUAUUUCACUCCUAGUAGCCUUUUGUGAACUCUAAAUAUUUUUCUUUUAACUGAUAAAAGACUGACAAUCUUGAGGUUUCCCCCCACCUUUGAUGCUGAUAUUUUAAUGAAUUUAAACAUGAGCUUUUGCAAUUCUUGAACGAUAAAGUGAAACUUCCAAAAUUAUUUUCCUAUACAGGCUAGAAAAUGCCUUAGUACGUCCCUAUCUACUCCAUUGUGCUUUUCUUUAUAAGAACCACUCAAUUACAAGACACAUUUUUAUUCAGCUAAUAAACUAGGAAAUCUGGUUUUUUUUUUUGUUUUUCUUUUUUUUAAUGUUCACCUAGCAACUAACUGAUGGCCAAGUUAUACACUCUGCCAAAAAAAAAAAAGUUACAGUUGAGUUAACUGGGUUCCCUCUUUGCAUUUAAUGUACAUAUCAAUUACUUAGUGAUGCAUUAUAGGCAUAAUCUAAUUCCACAUGUCAAACUUUUCAACCCAGUUUAUAAAUUCAGCUGCAUCAGCCUCUGCAUCAUUCACACCAAGUAAUUUUUAGCUUCUCUAGAAAUCAGCUUCUCUGAAGAACUAGAUAGAUUUAUUGUAUGUGUUACACACUGGGACCUAGUUUGCUCAGUGAGCAAAAUGAAUGCAUUGAGUUCCAGAGAGUAGAACUAGAUAUUGUGUAUUGUAUUGUAUUGUGUAUGCAGAACCUUUUUUAUUUCUAUUUUUUCCAAUAGAGCUAUCAAGUCUUGAAUAUGCCAGCAUGCCUUGCAUGUGCAGUCACGUUCUGAGGCACAUCUACAGCCCUGAUCCUCCCCACAUUUAUGUGACCACAUGGAGCUGAUCUCUGACAAUCUCCAACCCCUGUGGGGAAGUAAUAUUUAAAAACUAUAUAUUCAGAGUAAAUGCUGAUUCUAUAAUAUAGCUGUAGGCAUAUGGAGGAGCAAGAGAAAAUCAUUUGUGCCUGGGUGACAAGAGUGGUGCUCUGUUGAAAAUCAGAACGUUUUCUGUCAGCCGGACUUUAGAGCAGUGGUUUUCAACUUGUGGUCUGUGGACCUUUGGUCUGCAGACUGUCUAAGGGGUUCAUGAGAAAUGACUAUGAUCAAUCAAAAGUAUAUGAAUGCCUACAUUUACAGUUCAAAGGGGUUUGCACCUCCACUCAAAUAUUUUUAGGGAUCUACAAAUGAAAAAAGGUUGAAAAUCACUGCUUUAGAGUACUUGGGUAGCAAAAUGUGUCAGAAUAUAGCCGUUGAUCCUGGGCAAUACUCAUGUACUGUGAGUUUAGUCCCUGUCCCUUACAGCUUUCUGGAAAUGUGUAUUGUGCAGAGGAACGUUUAAAUGUUUUGCCAUAAGAAGAAAGCAUUUUGAGUAAAUGUUGUUAUUUCAAAGUAGUCUAAAAUCCACAGGUAUAUUCAGAUUUUGCCACAGAGGUAUUGUCAAGGAAAGUGCCAACAAUUAAAUGGAGGAAAGAUGAAAGUGGCAGCUUCAGAAUGUGAUUAUGCUAUAGGUUCCUCAUGUGUUUCUUGAAUAAUGGGACUGAGAGUGAUCAAAGAAAAGCAAGUAGCUUCAACUUGUAUCAGAGUCCAUAUGAUCAAAAGGGUUGUGUCAGAUAAGUGCACCUAUAUUAAACCACUUUUCUAGCGCUGGUUAAUGUGGCAACACAAUAUUUUCAUCAGUCAAAACAGGUUUAUCAUUAAAUAAACAUGUAGAAAACAAUGUUUCUAAAAUACUGACUUUCUAAAAUAUUUCAUUCAAUCUACAUAACUAGGGGUUCACACCAGUGUCACCCCUAAAAGUUCUGUAGCAUCUUGCGUUACAAUGGAAAUGUCAAAUACUAGAAAAAAAUUAGUUUCAAUCACACUAAACCUCCAAUAACACCCCCCCCCAAUGCUUCAGAAAAAAUCAAAUGUUGCACAAAACAAAUCAAAACACAACAAAAAAGUUUAAAAAUCACUGAUUUGUUUUCUAUAUUAAAAGGGAAAUCCUGGAGUAAUUUUAUCUGUGAUGGGGUGGCAUUACCACUUCACCACAGUAAAGCCAGGGGUAUAGUUAGCAGUGGAAAGCACAAUUUGAUCCUUAAGAAGCAAGGAGAAUUCGAAGUACAUGCAGAUGAAUGAAAGAACACUUGUGCUCAUCCAAAUGCACCCAAAAAAGGUAACUCGGUAAGAGUGCUGCUAUGCUGGCUAGCACUGAAUAUAUUUUGAACAUGAAGUACGCCUAAGAAUUAGUUGCCAUCAACAGAUUCAACAGACAAAAAGGCUAACAUUUUUAUGUGUACAUUCAAAUAUCUCAUAAAUACCAUUCUGUGGGACACAGCAGAAUACAUGAAAAUAGCACAUGUUCAGCAUUCCUUUCAUAUCUUUUGAUGAAGUGAGCUUGGGCUCUUAAAGCUUAUGUUAUACAGCUCUUGAUUUAGUCAGUAAGGUACAAAUCUACCUUGUCUUCUGCAUAUUAGGGAGGCCAUGGCUGAAACAUCCUGUGGUUGUUUUCUCCAGUAGCUCUUGCCUGGAAGCAGAGUUAAGUGUGUGGGAUGAAGCUGGCUUCCUAACUCCUUAUUUCCUGGUUUUCAGACAUUUAUAAUAAAAUGUAAGUGUAUGCUGCACUGUGGACAGUGAUAUGAGGCUCCUGGUCGCUCUUAACUCUGCUUUAACAAAGUUUUUGAGCAGUGAAAAUGAGUCACAUUAAUCUGCAGCAUGAAUCCAUCGACUUCAAAGAAUGCAUUUGUUCCCAGUACAUGGAGGGCCUGAUUUUCCUCCAAAUUUCACCUUGUCUUGUUUCCGUGUGUGUGUGUGUGUGUGUGUAAAAUGUUACCAUUACUGUGACUGGGGAAUUCUGAUUAUUUACUUUGAUUUCAGCAGAUGUAGACAGGUAUAAAGUAUCAGAAUCAGGCCCACUCUGUUUACAUGGGCUGACUGCUAAGUAGAGCCCAGUGCACGGUACAUUUAUACAUCUUGUACUUAGCUCACCCUAGUGCAAGUAAGGGGGAAUGCAUUUAAGAUCCCCCUGCACCUGUGGAGGCAGCUGUGCUAGCAGUUUUGUUUCCUCUCUGGAGAAAGCAAAUGGCAGUAUUGGAAUAUCAUCAGAAAAGGCAAACUACAGUUUAUAGCUUGGGUUCCAUAUGAGUCCUAUUAGCAGAAGGUGUUCACCCAGCCAGCCCUUCCCACUUUUGGCCUGCAUUGAUGCAGUAAAACUUGUGUUUUUAUUUUUUCCUACCAUCUCUACCAUACAGCUGUCCCACAGAAUAGAUUCUGAUAGUGGUUACAACUGUCUCAGCCCAUCCGGCACAUGGACUUUCUACCAGAGGGAGGACUACAUCUUGGAUUCUCCACUUAAUUCCUGGAAGAAGCAAGGACAUGAAUGAUGCUCUUUAUCUGAAAGACUUGGGGAGAAGUUAACAAGUUUGGAGAGAAGUCUGAAAUCUUUUCUCAUAACUGGAAUGGCUGAGAAUCGCAGUUCUUCUGGGAAACUCAUAUGUGGAUAUCAAUAGAAGAUUGAAAACACUUUGAUGCUACACAAGUUGGGCACACAAGGAAGGAGCAUGAUCUGAGGAUAACGCAAAACAGAAAAUAUAUUGGUUGGUUCUAAUCCCAGCACUGCCUAGAUUGCUUUGUGACCAAGGGAAACUCCUGUAACCUUUCUCUAACUCAGUGCUUAAAAAUAUAAAAUGGGAAUAAAAUUAGAGUAAUGCUUACCUA